AGGUGGAGGUUACUGGUGCCAAUGGCUUCUCUCCAUCUCCUAGACUAAGUGAUUACCAUGUGGUGGAGGUUACUGGUGCCAAUGGCUUCUCUCCCUCUCCUAGACUAAGUGAUUACCAUGUGGUGGAGGUGGAGGUUACUGGUGCCAAUGGCUUCUCUCCAUCUCCUAGACUAAGUGAUUACCAUGUGGUGGAGGUGGAGGUUACUGGUGCCAAUGGCUUCUCUCCAUCUCCU